GUGACGUUUGUCAUGACUUUUCUCUUUGUGCUUCUCAAUUCCGCUUUUAUAAAGGGGAAGUCAUGACCACAGGCCAAUAUGUUUUGAAAGUGAAAUAUUACACGAGGAAUUUGGAAAAAGUUAAAUGCGUCUGUCAUAGUUGGGGCUGACAGGGUCACUUCACUUUUCAGUUUCUACAAUGAAGACGAUUUUUUACUUCUGGAUUGUUGUGCUUCAGUAUUCCCUUGCUCAAAGACCCUGCCCUCAAGGAUAUAUAAGACACAUCAAAGACGGAUGCCGUGAUAUUGAUGAGUGCAAUGUGUAUCCCACCAUCUGUGGAGAGCAUUCAAUGUGUAAUAAUACAAUCGGUGCCUUCUCAUGCGAGUGUGAAGCUGGGUUCCAUUCAGUAGAUUUCAGUGGUACAAAAUGUGUGGGUGAGUAUGUGUAUUAUUCAGAGAUUGCAAAAGUACACAUCCGUCACUCAAGUAGAAGUACCGGUAGUUUUGUCAACAACAACAAAAAAUAUUGUUUUUCAACCUUUGGAAACUUGUUUUAAAAAUUAUUUUUUCAACCUUUUUUUUUUUCUAAACUUGUUUCCCUUGUUGCCCCUUGGUAGCUUCGUGAACUAGCUUCCGAUUGUUGUGCGUGAUAGCCAGGAAAUGACAAAAGGCCCCCAAUGACAAUAAAUAAUAUUGAUCAUGCUAAAGUCAUAUGCCUGGCUUUAUAAUGCAAGAUGUAAAAAGUUCAGAUAUUUUUGGAAGGUUGUCAGAAAAAUAAAUAGUCAAGUACUGAUACCAAAAAAUUCUCAUUUAGUAGGUACAGACCUUCGUUACUUCCCAUCUCUGGUAUCAUUUGUACCUGUGACCAGCAGUUCUAUAGCUCACUUAGUCGGUUCACAAAAAUGUCCCACCAUCAAAAGAAACAAAAUUAAGUGUGAGGGUAAGAGAACAAACAACUCCGAACUGUCUCCCAUGAUGCACUGCUUCCUCACCUGUCUUCUUAUGAUUUUCUAACGUCUAACUGCAGUUGUAUGAUGUACUUAAACUAGUUUCUGAAAUUUCUGUUUUUAGAGCUGAACUGUGACUUGGAUAAUACAACGGCUUCACAUGUACAGACUUUGCCAAAAGCUUUUGGAAAUAUCUUGUCUCUGGUAAAAGACAGUUGUUUGAGUAGUUCUUCGGUAACAAAGUUACCGAAGAAUUACAAAGUAACAAAGCAGUUGACUGGUGAAAGACAUUUGCAAAGUUGGAGAUAGUGGUGACAAGGGACAAGAAUCCAUCCAGAGGACCAGUCCGUCUGACCAAUCAGAACAGUCUGCUUGACACCACUUGGGAGACUGUAAUUGGUCAUGACAAGAACUACACUGGGUUUGGAUCUGUAUUUCUGUUAAGUUAUGAAAGUCUGGAUUUCAUAACCAACAUCUCAACGGUUACCACAGUAUCAGUUACCAACAGCAACACAACCAGAUUGCCUCAGGCUGUUAACAUCACAUUCCGACACCUUCAGUCUGAUGUUGUUGAACCCACAUGUGUGUAUUGGUCAACGGAUGGCACAGGAAAUUGGUCGACGCAAGGCUGCACGUCCCUGUUCUCAAACUCCACCCACACAGUGUGUUCCUGCAACCACCUCAGCAGUUUUGCUCUCAUUCAAAGAUUAAGCUCAGAAGAAAGUGACAAGCCGUCAUUUGUGUGGUUGGUGGCACUAUGUGUGGGUUUUAUCUGUGUUGGUUUCUCUCUGUUUGCAUCCCUGUUGUGUCGCUUUGUCAGCCGUAAACAAGGACGAGGGAACCGUUCACAGAAUGUUCAACUCUCAAGAGUGUCGAACUGAAGAACAGAAAUAUGUUUAUUUUUUCUAUUUAGAAAUCCAUCCUCUGAUGCAACAGCACCACUGAGGCAACUCACAGGUUCAUAGAAUUGUCCUUAAAUAUCUGUUUUUUGUAAAUGAAGGUGAAGACUUUGUAUUUAGUAGCUCUGUUAUUAAUUUUGUAUAUGUAAUAAUUAUAUUAUAAUAAUAAUUAUAGACCCCCCCCCCACACACACACACACAUAGG